rnacentral:rRNA from 1 species
AUUGAACGCUGGCGGCAGGCCUAACACAUGCAAGUCGAACGAGUGGCGGACGGGUGAGUAAUGUCUGGGAAACUGCCUGAUGGAGGGGGAUAACUACUGGAAACGGUAGCUAAUACCGCAUACCAUCGGAUGUGCCCAGAUGGGAUUAGCUUGUAGGUGAGGUAACGGCUCACCUAGGCGACGAUCCCUAGCUGGUCUGAGAGGAUGACCGGCCACACUGGAACUGAGACACGGCCCAGACUCCGACGGGAGGCAGCAGUGGGGAAUAUUGGACAAUGGGCGCAAGCCUGAUGCAGCCAUGCCGCGUGUGUGAAGAAGGCCUGCGGGUUGUAAAGUACUUUCAGCGGGGAGGCGUUACCCACAGAAGAAGCACCGGCUAACUCCGUGCCAGCAGCCGCGGUAAUAC